CUGCAUUAACUGGGGCAGAAUUGAACGGAUUGGUUGGGCCUGAACACGGAAAGCCUGACUACAAAUCCCUGCUUGGCUAUGAACUGCCCUGGGCAGAUGUUUCAACUGAAUCUCCCCUUGCCAUUGUUGUCAGGGCAAAAUAGGAUAGUUAGGAGUUUUGGGGGGGGAGAAGUGUAGGGAGGGGUUGCAAUUCCAAAAGCAGAGCAAGCAAUACGUGACUCUCUCCCCCUCAGUGUAAUGGCUGCCGGGCUAAUGUGACAUUUGUUUGGUUCUUGUUCCUCUACACCAGGAUGCAAAGGUGAUGGAUGAAUGACAAGGCAUCCUAGUGAGUAGCCUGGCAAUGGUGGAGACGAAGGGCAGGUGCCAAAGCUUAAGCCUGCCUGCAAGCCCUGUCAUUUGGGCUGGAAGCAUUUCCCUCUAAUUCAAAAUGAGCGGCGUGCAGCUCUGGCUGAGAGCAUUACUCAGGGCCAAGCUAGACCUGAAACUGAUUGUGGGACUAACAAUUAAAAGUGUGUGUUUUAUUUCUGUCCUGGAAAUGGUAACCUGGGGAUGGAGAGAUGGGGGUGGGGGCAGGUGUUCUAAAAUAAAUGAACAAAAUCCUUCUCUAAAGGUGCUAUAUGCAUGUCAGAUGACGACUCCAGACCUUCCAAGUGUCCCUUUUUUCCAGUGACAGUCCGGGAUUUACAGAAGCCGUCCCAGUUUCUGAUUUUAUCCUGGAAUGUCCCGCUUUUCCUUAGGAUGUCCCUAUUUUCAGAGUUAUGUGACCCUGAUAAGUAACUAUACAACCUUUAGAAGACUUCUGAAGGCAGCCCUGUAUAGGGAAGUUUUUUAAUUUUCAAUGUUUUUUUGUUUUUAUAUAUGUUGGAAGCCACCCAGAAUGGCUGGGGCAACCCAGUCAGAUGGGUGAGGUGCAACUGUUGUUGUUGUUGUUCUUGUUUUCAUUAUUUUUUUUAAUGUUCAGUGUUUUAUUAUGUUUAUAUAUGCACUGUACAGAUGGCUGCAGUAUAAAUAAUAAAAGUAUUCUUCUUAUUAUUAUUAAAUAGGAUGUCCCUAUUUUCAUUAGAGAAAUGUUGGAGAAUAUAGUGCUAUGCAACCGCUGAGCCAAGGACAUAAGCAUAUAUGUAUGUACAGCGAAGGAGAUAAGUAUAUGGAUACUAUAGGGAAGUUUCUUUUAAAAAUGUUUAAUGUUUUAUUAUGUUUUCAUACAUGUUGGCAGACUGGCUGGGGCAACCCAGUAAGCUGGGCAGAGUAUAAAUAACAACGUUACUGUUUUGAUUUUCAUAAUUGAAUAGAACGUCCCUAUUUUCAUCGGAGAAAUAUAAUUUAUUUAUUGGGGGGGGAUCACUUCUAUAGCUAAACUCGACGACUGAGGUAAACGCAUUUAAGUCACUGCCGUCUAUGGCCGGCCUCCCCCCCCCCCCCCCCGCGUAAGAGAACGGCGCCAGAGCUGACCCAGGAGAGGCACAAAAACUGAAGC